rnacentral:lncRNA from 1 species
AGGUGAAACAUGUAAGACUAACAUUGUGAGUUGUGGAUAUGAAGAAGAUAGAUGUCUGAGGAUUAACUACAAAGUCGGUAACGAAUUGAUGACUGACGAACGUUGUUACAGGUCCUCGGUUUGCUCCGAUACUACUAAGAUAUGUGCUUUAGUGAAAAAGAAUAACACAACUGUCAAAGAUUGUAAACCGACCUGCUGUGAUAAGCCCAAUUGCAAUGCAGUUCUUGAGCCAGGUAAUUCCGAUAACAUGCGAUUCCAAGUUCUGUUUUAGUUGCCUGUUUGAUUGUACUUGUUAUUAUGCUGAAAAUGUAAUGUGACUUUCAUUUCUUUCGUUCGUAUCGCAGUUUUGAUAACUAUAUACCGUACAUAUAUACAUUUGGCUCUUGCUAGAACCACAUUUAAACUGCAAACAUAUAAAUUGAUGAUUUUGAUAGUGUAAUGAUAAAACUGUCAACAUGUAAUUUUAUACUUUUAAUAAUUAAAUG